AGUAACGGCGAGUGAAGCGGCAACAGCUCAAAUUUGAAAUCUGGCCUCUUUCGGGGUCCGAGUUGUAAUUUGUAGAGGAUGUUUUGGGUACCGCGCUGGUUUAAAUUUCUUGGAACAGGAUGUCAGAGAGGGUGAGAAUCCCGUCUUGGACCGGCGUAGGGCCCAUGUAAAACUCCUUCGACGAGUCGAGUUGUUUGG
rnacentral:rRNA from 1 species